CAGUCGCCACGGGAAUACGAAGGGUGCAAGCGUUACUCGGAAUUACUGGGCGUAAAGCGUGCGUAGGUGGUGGUUUAAGUCCGUUGUGGAAGCCCUGGGCUCAACCUGGGAAUUGCAGUGGUGACUGGGUCACUAGAGUGUGGUAGAGGAUAGUGGAAUUUCCGGUGUAGCAGUGAAAUGCGUAGAGAUCGGAAGGAACAUCUGUGGCGAAGGCGACUACCUGGGCCAAUACUGACACUGAGGCACGAAAGCGUGGGGAGCAAACAGGAUUAGAUACCCCUGUAGUCCCUGUCUCUUAUAC
rnacentral:rRNA from 1 species